rnacentral:rRNA from 1 species
UGGGGAAUUUUGGACAAUGGGCGAAAGCCUGAUCCAGCAAUGCCGCGUGUGUGAAGAAGGCCUUCGGGUUGUAAAGCACUUUUGUCCGGAAAGAAAUCCUUGGCUCUAAUACAGUCGGGGGAUGACGGUACCGGAAGAAUAAGCACCGGCUAACUACGUGCCAGCAGCCGCGGUAAUACGUAGGGUGCAAGCGUUAAUCGGAAUUACUGGGCGUAAAGCGUGCGCAGGCGGUUUGCUAAGACCGAUGUGAAAUCCCCGGGCUCAACCUGGGAACUGCAUUGGUGACUGGCAGGCUAGAGUAUGGCAGAGGGGGGUAGAAUUCCACGUGUAGCAGUGAAAUGCGUAGAGAUGUGGAGGAAUACCGAUGGCGAAGGCAGCCCCCUGGGCCAAUACUGACGCUCAUGCACGAAAGCGUGGGGGAGCAAAACAGGAUUAGAUACCCUGGUAGUCCACGCCCUAAACGAUGUCAACUAGUUGUUGGGGAUUCAUUUCCUUAGUAACGUACUAACGCGUGAAGUUGACCGCCUGGGGAGUACGGUCGCAAGAUUAAAACUCAAA